rnacentral:rRNA from 1 species
ACUCCUACGGGAGGCAGCAGUGAGGAAUAUUGGACAAUGGGUGAGAGCCUGAUCCAGCCAUCCCGCGUGAAGGACGACGGCCCUAUGGGUUGUAAACUUCUUUUGUACAGGGAUAAACCUUUCCACGUGUGGAAAGCUGAAGGUACUGUACGAAUAAGCACCGGCUAACUCCGUGCCAGCAGCCGCGGUAAUACGGAGGGUCCGAGCGUUAUCCGGAAUUAUUGGGUUUAAAGGGUCCGUAGGCGGGCCGGUAAGUCAGGGGUGAAAGUCUGUAGCUCAACUAUAGAACUGCCUUUGAUACUGCCGGUCUUGAGUCACGGUGAAGUUGCCGGAAUAUGUGGUGUAGCGGUGAAAUGCAUAGAUAUCACAUAGAACACCGAUUGCGAAGGCAGGUGACUAACCGUGUACUGACGCUGAUGGACGAAAGCGUGGGGAGCGAACAGGAUUAGAUACCCUGGUAGGAAAGCC